UACGGAGGAUCCGAGCGUUAUCCGGAUUUAUUGGGUUUAAAGGGUGCGUAGGUGGAUUGGUAAGUCAGUGGUGAAAGUUUGCAGCUUAACUGUAAAAUUGCCGUUGAAACUGCCGGUCUUGAGUGCAAAUGAGGUAGGCGGAAUGCGUCGUGUAGCGGUGAAAUGCUUAGAUAUGACGCAGAACUCCGAUUGCGAAGGCAGCUUACUGGGAUGCAACUGACGCUGAGGCACGAAAGUGUGGGGAUCAAACAGGAUUAGAUA
rnacentral:rRNA from 1 species